GAGGUUAAUUGUCCUGUCUCAUCUGUACACGUUCAGCAAGUGUGCGUAAGAAAUGUCAAAAACAACUCUAUACCCCAGAAGGCAUUUCCCCACUUGUCAGACUAACAGCUGAUUUCUCAUGUUUACAUUUUCUCGGCAUAUCGUGAUAGGGUAAAUAUAACAACAACAUUACGCAUGCUCAAUGACCAGAUAGAAACGAAAUAAAAUUGACAAUGAAAUUGUAGUGGUUUUGGAAGCGCACCUUGGUGAGGAGAACAUAAAUUCUUUAUUGAAUGUUUUGUAAAUUCAUAACAAGUUAAGACAUAAAGGUAUGUUGAUGCUUUUAAUUAAAGAAGUUUUUAAAAGAAAGCAUUGAACAGUGCUUAUCAUCAAAGAUCAAAAUGGCGACCAGUUGUUGUUUACAUUUUUCAAAACAAAAACAAAAAGCUACCCUACCACAACCUGUCUCAGGAAAUACUCUAUUCAAUUUCAAUGUGUCCAUUGCAACUUUCAAACAACGGAUUGAGCAUAGCAUGAGUGAACGAUUAAGAAACUAGCAAACAAUUUAUGUAAACCUAGAUUUAAGUUUUAUUCAUUCAGACACCCACCUUUGUCAGACGAUAUCAAGAUAAUAAACAAAUAUGACCCGUUUUAGAGUUUAAAAUUUUUAAACCUAAUACCCGGACUUGCACGGUCUAGAUAAGUACAGAAAAAAUAUCUGGAAAGCUUACUCAAUAACUUAUGGGUUAGAUAGUGAAUAAAUACAUGACAUUCAUUCCAUUGGAGGAGCCCGGAUUUUGCCCGGGUUUAUUCUCAUUCCCAUUCUCAAAUCUAACUAAAAAAAACAAGUUGUAUUGUAAAACUAUGCGUCCAAAACGAAAUUUUUUUAGCAAGUUUCAUAAAAAUAAUAAUAUAAGGUUUUUUGAAAAUCUUAAAUACAAUUAAAUAUCUGCUGAUAAACUUAGAUGAAAGAAAAGGACAGAUUUUAAUAACAUAAAUCCACAAAUUAGAAUAAAAAUAAAAAAACUAAAAUAGAGACGAACCAGCCAAAGGCUGAAAAUCUCUCUAAUAAAGACAAAAAAAAACUAUAAAAAAAACUAAUGAUUUUAAAGUUAUUUCUGUAAAACUGAUGUUCAUUGAUCAUUCAUUUAUUUGGUUUUGUUUUUUUUUUAUUAUAAACAAAAACAAUAAAUCUUUAAUGUGGCUCUUUUAAACUCUGAUAUUUUGAAUAUUUUGGCUCUUCCGACUCAAAAGGUGGCCGACCACUGAUUAAGGGUACAUUUUGGAAGAACGAGUCAAUCAGGUGGGCUAGUUUACUUGCCAGUAUUCCGGCAUCCGUGUAUAUGUGUCCACCUGCUGGCACCUGCUUGAACAUUAAACUGAGUCGAUUUGAGGUCAUUUUUUAAUUUCUUAAAUCCUGGGGUCUAAAUGGCAUGCAGGACUUAAAAUAUUGUCCCUCACAAAACGUGUUCAUUCUCGGGAACCGUGUAAAACAAACGUGCUUAUGGCGAAAAAAACCUUGUAAUAAGAUGUCAUGUAAGACAAAACUUAACAAACUUAAUCGACGUAAAAAACCUUAGUGUUCUUUCUAUUAACAACUUUGGCUGAUGGUAUAAGAUUUUUCAAAAGUUUCUCAAAUGUACCGUUUUUUUUUAAAGUAUAUGCCAAGCCUAUGUUAAGCUCAACUACUUUAAGCUCUUUCCAAAUUCCAACCUGGCCGUGCAAUUUUUGAUGGAGACGCUUGGUUUAUGGAGAAACUUCUUCGGUGGUUUUUGCGUUGAUUGAAACUUUCAUUUUCGUACAAUUUUCGGACCUGUUACAUGUUUCAUCAUCCUGUGACACGGAAUUUAACAUCCUCAGUAUAUGCAUUCGUGGCCUAACAUUUUUUUAAGGCAGUGUGUAAAAUUUGGCAAUUUACUAUUCGCUUGCAAAAGACUAAACCUUUUACUGCUAUCAGAAAAAAAUACAACUGAUAUCAAGAUAGAAUGGAUAAACAAUUUCUUAGCCAAUAUUUCAUUUUUUUUGCCUUUUGUGGUACCAAAUCAAAAUAUUUGUUCGGUUGACAUUCCCAACUCUCUGGAGCCACUACGUGAAAUUAUUGGUUUGUAAAAUUCUAUAAAUCACCUAUCAAAAACUGAACCCACCGUACAUUUUGCGUUAAGGACAUACUUACUGUCAACGUGGGUUCCAUUUCAUAAAGGAUCAAUUCAAAAAAAAAUAAAAGUUCAAUGGCACCAUGUAAUGUCAUGAGAGCUACCAAAAUGGGUUAACUUUUUUAAGAUUGUUCAUCACUGUUAAUGAGGUGUUAAUAUGUUCGACCGCUCGGCUCAUUAACAGUGAUGAAUACCACCCAUAAAACAGUAAGCCCAUUUUUGAAGUCGUGAUCCGAUCUGGCCCAAAUUUGGCAUGAGAUCUUGCACUAGGCCUAGGAUAAAUUUUAGAAAGCAGUGCAUAUAUUUUACAGGUUUCAAAUUUCCCAUACAAAUUUGGGCCGAGUGAGGCAUUUAUAGCACUAAAAUAUCGUAUCUCGGCUUGAAAUAGUCGGGAAUUUUUAGGAAGAACACUCUGAUUCUCUAGAAUGAAGAAUAUAAUCGUUCACCAUACAAUUUCUUAUUUAUCUUCUAGGGGCUACCAAUGUGGGAUCCGUUCAGAUCUACAUUGACGAUAAGCUGAAAACCAACAAAUGGGUCGGCCUGGAGGUUGGCACCCAUCGCUGUAAAGAGUACGACGAGCUGAGCCUUCCGCAGGAUACAUUCCUCAGCAAGGGCGAACUGUUGGGACAGUUCAACAUGGGCAGCACCAUAGUGCUGAUAUUCGAGGCUCCACGAGAUUUCAAGUUCAACCUUGAAACGGGUCAGGUCGUUCGGAUGGGUCAACGGCUGGGUUGCGCCGGUGAGAAAGACAGCGACAAUGAGGACCCAACGAAAAUCAGGAAGCUGAUUCAGGCUAUCUGAUCCGAAACGAUUGCGAUCGACAAUCGCUACAACGUACCUACUUCAGGAGACGUAUUAGUAUCUUAGAGAAGUUUUGCAAUUGCGUGAUAUCUGCGGCGUGUGUUCGUGUUAGAUUUCCUGUUUUCUUUACAUGAGAAUUCCCUUAAAGAUUGUGUCCUCCCAAGCAAUCGGAUUGUUCAAGUUUCAAUUCCUAAUGGAUACACUGUUCAAAAGACAAACACACCUCGAGGGAUGAACGUUUUUUGUAUUACGCUAUUUCCCAACGUAUUUCUCGAUACAAUUCCUAACAUAUUGAGCAACACGGGAAACGAAUGAUAUAGAUUAGGCUUUCAAAUGACGUAGUACAUAUUGUACAUGUAUUCUAUGAAACUCAACUACUAGCAAGCACACACAUCAAUCAGUCAUUCGGCACUCUACAGUAAGAGGAUGGCUCAAACAGUGCCAUUCUUCUCUCGAAGCGUACGAAUUUACGUUUGUUCAUUAAUUUUAACUGCUUACUUUGCCCCUCAUGAGAAUGAUAUAAAAACUGUUGAGUGAUAUUACCCAGAGUUUAUCUGAAUAAAAACCAUUUAUAUAAAAUAGAA